GAUGAACGCUGGCGGCGUGCCUAAUACAUGCAAGUCGAGCGAACAGACGAGGAGCUUGCUCCUCUGACGUUAGCGGCGGACGGGUGAGUAACACGUGGAUAACCUACCUAUAAGACUGGGAUAACUUCGGGAAACCGGAGCUAAUACCGGAUAAUAUAUUGAACCGCAUGGUUCAAUAGUGAAAGACGGUUUUGCUGUCACUUAUAGCUGGAUCCGCGCCGAAUUAGCUAGUUGGUAAGGUAACGGCUUACCAAGGCGACGAUGCGUAGCCGACCUGAGAGGGUGAUCGGCCACACGGGAACUGAGACACGGUCAAGACUCCUACGGGAGGCAGCAGUAGGGAAUCUUCCGCAAUGGGCGAAAGCCUGACGGAGCAACGCCGCGUGAGUGAGGAAGGUCUUCGGAUCGUAAAACUCUGUUAUUAGGGAAGAACAAAUGUGUAAGUAACUAUGCACGUCUUGACGGUACCUAAUCAGAAAGCCACGGCUAACUACGUG
rnacentral:rRNA from 1 species